rnacentral:lncRNA from 1 species
AGCUGCUGUGAAGUUUGUUUUUUUGUUGGAUCAAAACAAAAUUCAGCAUCUCCUGCAGCCACACUCUUGGAUCUGAUUUCCUCUCUAUUACACCACGGAUAUUUGUGGACUUCCACAUCCACUGGCUCUGCAGAAACCCAGCGCGUAGCAGAUGGGGUAAGGGUACCAUCUAGAGUCCAUUCACCCAUCAGCCGCUUUUACGCUAGAACGCUGUAUAUACGCAGAGGAGAGCCAUGCCUCAGUGCAGGCAUGUGACUGAACAAGGACAUUAUGGGUAAAGACAAAAAUCGGGAUAACUUAUCGCUGUUGGAUGUGAAUUCGCAGCUCUAGGGUGUUAUUAGAUCUGCGGGGGCCCUGCAGAGAUAUACAGCGGCAUGGAGUCCUGCAGCUACUCCGGUAUCUUGUUUUAUUCUUACCCCCUGUUCCAGGAGAGCCCGCAGUGUUAUGAUCAUCUUUGCAGGGCAGCCUUACAGCAGAGGGAGAGGCGGCUAUCCUGCGUCCUUACCCAGGCUUGUCUGUAGUGCACCUAGAACCAGGGGAACCACGUACUGCACCUUUUUUUUUUCCUGCCUUGGGACGGAUUAGUUCAGUCACCCGCUAUUGGUGCCUGUAACCCGCCGCUGUCAAAGUGUAAGGAUAAUCCAAUCAAGUGUUUAAAGGCGAGAAGCUAAGAAUAACAGCAAUUACAGUCAAAAGUUUCACAUCUCCUGCGCCGGGGCUGAGGUAAUAGUGCAAAUGAACAAGGCAGGGACCAUGUAUAGUUAGUGGUAUUGAUGAAUUCCCUGCUGGAAACACGCAGCCAAAGACUGGAAUGUGAGCAGGAGGAAUACUAUGGAUCCGAGGUGGGAGCACUGAGAAGAAACACACAGGAUUACAUGGUACCAGGUGCAAGUGUGGAAUGUGUGCAGAAUGAGCAGCACCUUUGUUACACUAGCUGAGGUUCUGGAGGCACGAGGAGGACCUCUGCUGGAGGAGGAGGUCUGGUCUCUGCUGCUGGGCACUGCAGAGUCUUUAUUGGAUGUCUCUUAUAAGGAACACAACAAUAUGUGCAGCAUCAUUAGCCCCGCCUCCCUGCUGCUGUCAGCCACUGGUACCUUGGCUUUUAAGAACUGUGGCCUAUCAGAUGGAGUGUCCACCUUUGCUGCUCCAGAGAUGCUGCAGGGCCGUGCCAGCUCAACCAAACCUGCCACAGAGAGAGUAGGUGCUCGUGCUCCAUCCCUCACACCUGAGUAGAAUUAACAAUA